GGGGAUUGGACAUGGGCGAAAGCCGAUCCAGUCAUGCCGGUGAGUGAAGAAGGCCUUCGGGUUGUAAGCUCUUUCAGACGGAAAGAAUCUUCUGGGUUAAUACCCUGGGAGGAUGACGGUACCGUAAGAAGAAGCACCGGCUAACUACGUGCCAGCAGCCGCGGUAAUACGUAGGGUGCGAGCGUUAAUCGGAAUUACUGGGCGUAAAGCGUGCGCAGGCGGUUAUGUAAGACAGAUGUGAAAUCCCCGGGCUCAACCUGGGAACUGCGUUUGUGACUGCAUAACUAGAGUACGGCAGAGGGAGGUGGAAUUCCGCGUGUAGCAGUGAAAUGCGUAGAUAUGCGGAGGAACACCGAUGGCGAAGGCAGCCUCCUGGGCCAGUACUGACGCUCAUGCACGAAAGCGUGGGGAGCAAACAGGAUUAGAUACCCUGGUAGUCCACGCCCUAAACGAUGUCAACUAGUUGUUCGGUGAGGAGACUCAUUGAGUAACGCAGCUAACGCGUGAAGUUGACCGCCUGGGGAGUACGGCCGCAAGGUUAAAACUCAAAGGAAUUGACGGGGACCCGCACAAGCGGUGGAUGAUGUGGAUUACUUCGAUGCAACGCGACAAACCUUACCUACCCUUGACAUGCCAGGAACUUACCAGAGAUGGUUG
rnacentral:rRNA from 1 species